AUACAAUUCAUUGAGCUUUACGCUUAUAAUUUAUUCUCCUUUUUGGGUGUACUUUAAUCAAUGAGCAUAUGGAUUGAAGUUAGUUUAUUAACUAUUAUUUUGUUAGUUCGUUUUUAAGGCAGUGAACAGACUGUUAACAACAGGACUGAGCUCUGGGCUAGGAGGCAGUGAUUCACUGGAAAGAUCAGAGCCUGUCUGAGAAACAGGGCAGUAAACAGAAAGCUCAGUGAUGUAUGAGUGCUGAAGACUUUUUUGUUAAGAUGCACAGGAGGAAGACAGAGAAUCUAGGAAGGUGCCAGGGAUGAUUUCUCAUCCCAAAGCCCUGGGAGAAAUCCCAUCUCUGGGCAAGAAGAGAAUCUGAACGCAAAUGGAUGAAGAUGCUAAUGAGGCUCAGAUGAUGAGAGCACACUAGGCUCACAGCAUGCUGACAAAUCCAGAAACAGGCUAUGCUUCCCUCCCGCCUUCCUAAGACUUCAGCUAAGACACUGCACAUGCCCGUCCCUCUGCAGGAAGGCCAUCCACAGUUAUAUCUUGCUUUAAAAAAGCAAAACUUUGAAAAAUAAAAUGUACAAAAUUGGGUA
rnacentral:lncRNA from 1 species